rnacentral:rRNA from 1 species
AUCUCAAAGAUUAAGCCAUGCAUGUCUAAGUAUAAAUCAUUUAUACAGGUGAAACUGCGAAUGGCUCAUUAAAUCAGUUAUAAUUUAUUUGAUAGUACAAUUACUACUUGGAUAACCGUGGUAAUUCUAGAGCUAAUACAUGCUAAAAUUCCCGACUUCUGGAAGGGAUGUAUUUAUUAGAUAAAAAACCAAUAUCGGGAAACCGAUUCCCAUGGUGAUUCAUAAUAACUUUUCGAAUCGCAUGACUUUACGUCGGCGAUGAAUCAUUCAAAUUUCUGCCCUAUCAACUUUCGAUGGUAGGACAGAGGCCUACCAUGGUGGUAACGGGUAACGGGGUGUUAGGGCACGACACCGGAGAGGGAGCCUGAGAAACGGCUACCACAUCCAAGGAUGGCAGCAGGCGCGCAAAUUACCCAAUCCCGACACGGGGAGGUAGUGACAAUAAAUAACAAUACGGGGUUCUUUCGGAUUUCGUAAUUGGAAUGAGUACAAUUUAAAUCUCUUAACGAGGAACAAUUGGAGGGCAAGUCUGGUGCCAGCAGCCGCGGUAAUUCCAGCUCCAAUAGCGUAUAUUAAAGUUGCUGCAGUUAAAAAGCUCGUAGUUGAAUUUCGGGACUAAUAUGUCGGUCGUGCCUCGGUACGUACUGGUUUAUUGGUUUCUCCUUUCUGAAGAACCAUGAUGUCAUUUAUUUGGUGUCGUGGGGAAUCAGGACUGUUACUUUGAAAAAAUUAGAGUGUUUAAAGCAGGCUCACGCUUGAAUACAUUAGCAUGGAAUAAUGAAAUAGGACGUUUGAUUCUAUUUUGUUGGUUUCUAGGAUCGACGUAAUGAUUAAUAGGGAUAGUUGGGGGCAUUAGUAUUCAAUUGUCAGAGGUGAAAUUCUUGGAUUUAUUGAAGACUAACUACUGCGAAAGCAUUUGCCAAGGAUGUUUUCAUUAAUCAAGAACGAAAGUUAGGGGAUCGAAGACGAUCAGAUACCGUCGUAGUCUUAACCAUAAACUAUGCCGACUAGGGAUCGGAUGAUGUUAAUUUUUUAAUGACUCAUUCGGCGCCUUACGGGAAACCAAAGUGUUUGGGUUCCGGGGGGAGUAUGGUCGCAAGGCUGAAACUUAAAGGAAUUGACGGAAGGGCACCACCAGGGGUGGAGCCUGCGGCUUAAUUUGACAACACGGGGAAACUCACCAGGUCCAGACAUAGUAAGGAUUGACAGACC